rnacentral:lncRNA from 1 species
GUGACCGUAUCCUGUUGGUGACUUCUGUUUGGUCCUGUUGGUAACUUGGUUCAGAAGCAUGGGUUUCAGAUGACUUGAUUUGUGGUUUCCGGUUCCGAUGCCGAAGUUCUGAUCCUGUGCCUCGUGAUACACAACCAACCAGUCAUAAUUGCAUCAUUUGCAUCAUAGCAUGUUUAUUUUCAAAAAAAAAUAAUGCAAAAAAAAAU